rnacentral:rRNA from 1 species
AUGGAUUAGAUACCCGCCUAUUUUUUGACAUAAACCAUAAGCCGGAUAUUACGAUCCACAGAUUAAAAUCCAAAGACUUUGGCGGUGUUUUAUAUAAUCAGGGGAACCUGUCUCAUAACUCGAUACUCCACGCACACGCAACCAUAUAUUGAACACUCAGCCUGUGUACUGCCGUCGUAAGUAUACCUCUAAAAGUACAAGUAUACAAAAAUGAAUCCUCAUAUACGUCAGGUCAAAGUGCAGCCUAUAAUAUGGUGAUGAUGGGUUACAACAUGCAAUCAUAUACGGAAUAUAUUUAUAAAAAAUAUGCAAAGGUGGACCUGAAAGUAAUUAAUUUAGUAAAAAAUAACUGAAUAAAAAUCUAAAACAUGCACACAUCGCCCGUCACU